rnacentral:rRNA from 1 species
CCUAUACAUGCAAGUCGAGCGGACAGAUGGGAGCUUGCUCCCUGAUGUUAGCGGCGGACGGGUGAGUAACACGUGGGUAACCUGCCUGUAAGACUGGGAUAACUCCGGGAAACCGGGGCUAAUACCGGAUGGUUGUUUGAACCGCAUGGUUCAGACAUAAAAGGUGGCUUCGGCUACCACUUACAGAUGGACCCGCGGCGCAUUAGCUAGUUGGUGAGGUAACGGCUCACCAAGGCGACGAUGCGUAGCCGACCUGAGAGGGUGAUCGGCCACACUGGGACUGAGACACGGCCCAGACUCCUACGGGAGGCAGCAGUAGGGAAUCUUCCGCAAUGGACGAAAGUCUGACGGAGCAACGCCGCGUGAGUGAUGAAGGUUUUCGGAUCGUAAAGCUCUGUUGUUAGGGAAGAACAAGUGCCGUUCAAAUAGGGCGGCACCUUGACGGUACCUAACCAGAAAGCCACGGCUAACUACGUGCCAGCAGCCGCGGUAAUACGUAGGUGGCAAGCGUUGUCCGGAAUUAUUGGGCGUAAAGGGCUCGCAGGCGGUUUCUUAAGUCUGAUGUGAAAGCCCCCGGCUCAACCGGGGAGGGUCAUUGGAAACUGGGGAACUUGAGUGCAGAAGAGGAGAGUGGAAUUCCACGUGUAGCGGUGAAAUGCGUAGAGAUGUGGAGGAACACCAGUGGCGAAGGCGACUCUCUGGUCUGUAACUGACGCUGAGGAGCGAAAGCGUGGGGAGCGAACAGGAUUAGAUACGCUGGUAGUCCACGCCGUAAACGAUGAGUGCUAACUGUUAGGGGGUUUCCGCCCCUUAGUGCUGCAGCUAACGCAUUAAUCACUCCGCCUGCGGAGUACGGUCGCAGGACUGAAACUCAAAGAAUUGAAAGCGGCCCGCACAACCGUUGGAGCAAGUGGUUUAUUCAAAGCCACGCCAAAGAACUUAACAGGGCUUGGCAUCCACUGACAUCC